GCUAGGAGAACAGAAAUUCCAGGCACUUGUUACUCUAGGCAACUCCAAAACAUUUUGCUGCACCUUUCCCCCUUCCAGAUACAGAAGCCAAUCAGACUGGCAAUUGAAUCUCCACUCAACAUGGACAACUGGGCAUCCUUCUCUACCAUAUUCUCUAAUCCUGAACCAUCCCUUUUAUAUUACUGAUCACCAAGAGGUGCUUAAUACGCUUGACUGAAGUACAUUAUAUUCACUUGGAGAAGCAGCUCCAAAGUGACCUCUCCGGGGUGCAAGCCUGGGCAGUCUGUAUGGAAGUACUGGGCUGCCCAGGUGACAAGACCCCCUUCUUGACCUUGCCGAUGUAAUCCAAAGGAAAGCAGAGCAAUAUGUUUGGCACCAGCUUGGCUGCAGGAGUUGCUGGAAGGAGGUGUACAAAGCACCAUCCAACAGUCUUAGGGACUCCACUCCAGAUUUGUGUAGGGUCUACCCCCUACUCUUUUCUUCUCCCAAAGAUAUCUUGCAAGGCAGAAGAGGUUCAGGAUCAGAAUUUCCCUUCUCUUAAAUGAGCUCCCUUUCCAGGUUGACAAGUCCCAUCUACUUCUCACUUCCCUCCAUAGGAGCCAGUUCCUAGGGGCUGAGGUCCCUUCAUCCCCCCUUAAAUAUUUGAGGGGUCCGGGAGCUCCCAAAGUUGAUGGGUAUCAAGUUGGCAGGCACCCUUGCUUCCCUCUACAGCACAUGCAGAAACCGCCUUUUUGAUCAUUGGACCUAUUCUUGGUCUCGUCUGCUCGAUCCACGAGAGCCUGUCUUCACAUGCAGUGGAUGCAGCCCAGUUGGGACUUAAGAAAAACAUUCUGCACAUCCCCAGAGUCUCUCUCUCUUUUCUGCUUUAAGUGCAGAGCCCUGGCAUUUGAAAUCAGUCUCUGGAGCUGAGUCCAGUUAAACCCUGGCUCAGAUUAACUCCACAGACACAUAUAAGAAAAAGCAUAUAUAGGGUUUUGGAACAUACAGUAUUCCCAAAUAUCGGUUUCCUCUCUCUUCAUUGUUUAUUUGGCUUGAGACCAGGUUGGAAUUUCACAAAAACAGAGCCAGAGAACUGUGGGCGGAAGGGAAAUAGCUUGCUAGCACUGUUCCCUAAACACUUGUGCAAGAGCUUAAACGAGAGUCCAGCCCUGCAAUUGCUACACAGAUAGGGUUAGGUACUCUGGGAAUGUGGUCUGUCUGAAACCUUGGAGAGUCGCUGCCAGACAAUGCAGACAAUCUGGGUCUGACUUGGCAGCUUCCAAUGUACAUUGUUGAGUUUGACUUUUCUCAUGCAACAUUCUUGCACAGAUGCACUUUGAACUCCAGCGCCCAUCAUCCCCAGCCAGCAAGGUCAACGGUAAGAGAGGAUGGAAGUUGUAGCUCUGCAACAUUUGGAGGGCCACAGGUGCCCCAUCCCCAAUCUAAUAAACCAGCCCUUUUACACAUGGGUGGGGACUUGGGGACAAUCGAGAGACUGACAUUCUGUUUAGGAGCUCCAAGGAGGAAGUGCCUUUAAAGACCAGUGAAAUUUCUGUGGAAGCAUAUCAGACAAUGCAUAGUUUCUUCCAUCCAUGGAGACACUUGCCUCACUAAGCUCCUUCUAUUUAUGCUUUUAACGUCCUUGUGGGAGUCUUUCUUCUUUUCUUUUCUUUUUGCUUUUUUGUCCAAGCUGUAAACCAGCAGAUGAUUGAAUACACAGGAAAUUUGCCAUAUCUUUUUCACAGAUGCUGUCAGAUGGGUGAAACAAGGAAAUGGAAGGAAGCACAGAUCGAAGGAUUAUCACUUUGUGAUUCUACAAGCGUUUGGUACGAUUCAAUGGCCACUUAUAUUGAUGUAGAUCCAUUAGCAGAGUCAGUGAAUUGCUCCCUUGUGCGAGAUUUGCUGGCUCUGUGGAUGCUGUGCAGAGACGAUUCGACAAUCAGCUGUGAGGCUGGUGGUGCAUAAGUUGUAUGUGACCACUUUGCUAGUGAUGGAAAACACAACACUCCAAUUCCAUAGCUUAUCUCAGCAAAGAAAGGGGU